rnacentral:rRNA from 1 species
AUACGGAGGGGGCUAGCGUUGUUCGGAAUUACUGGGCGUAAAGCGUACGUAGGCGGACUGAUCAGUUGGGGGUGAAAUCCCAGGGCUUAACCCUGGAACUGCCUUCAAUACUGUCAGUCUUGAGAUUGGAAGAGGUGAGUGGAAUUCCUAGUUUAGAGGUGAAAUUCAUAGAUAUUAGGAGGAACACCAGUGGCGAAGGCGGCUCACUGGUCCAAUACUGGCGCUGAGGUACGAAAGCGUGGGGAGCAAACAGGAUUAGAUACCCUAGUAGUCC